AUUGAACGCUGGCGGCAUGCCUUACACAUGCAAGUCGAACGGCAGCAUGGAGAGCUUGCUCUCUGAUGGCGAGUGGCGAACGGGUGAGUAAUGCAUCGGAACGUACCGUGUAAUGGGGGAUAACGUAGCGAAAGUUACGCUAAUACCGCAUACGACCUGAGGGUGAAAGCAGGGGAUCGCAAGACCUUGCGUUAUACGAGCGGCCGAUGUCAGAUUAGCUAGUUGGUGAGGUAAAGGCUCACCAGGGCGACGAUCUGUAGCGGGUCUGAGAGGAGGAUCCGCCACACUGGGACGGAGACGCGGCCCAGACUCCUACGGGAGGAAGCAGUGGGGAAUGUUGGACAAUGGGGGCAACCCUGAUCCAGCCAUGCCGCGUGAGUGAAGAAGGCCUUCGGGUUGUAAAGCUCUUUCGGCCGGGAAGAAAUCGCACAGGCUAAUACUCUGUGUGGAUGACGGUACCGGCAUAAGAAGCACCGGCUAACUACGUGCCAGCCGCCGCAGUAA
rnacentral:rRNA from 1 species